UAGGGAAUAUUGGGCAAUGGACGGAAGUCUGACCCAGCCAUGCCGCGUGCAGGAAGAAGGCCUUCUGGGUUGUAAACUGCUUUUAUCUGGGAAGAAAAAACCUUUGCGAAGGGAACUGACGGUACCAGAUGAAUAAGCACCGGCUAACUCCGUGCCAGCAGCCGCGGUAAUACGGAGGGUGCAAGCGUUGUCCGGAUUUAUUGGGUUUAAAGGGUGCGUAGGCGGCCCUGUAAGUCAGUGGUGAAAGCCUCCAGCUCAACUGGAGAACUGCCAUUGAUACUGCAGGGCUUGAGUACAGACGAGGUUGGCGGAAUUGAUAGUGUAGCGGUGAAAUGCAUAGAUACUAUCAAGAACUCCGAUUGCGUAGGCAGCUAACUAGGCUGUAACUGACGCUGAGGCACGAAAGCGUGGGGAGCGAACA
rnacentral:rRNA from 1 species